rnacentral:rRNA from 1 species
AUUGAACGCUGGCGGCAGGCCUAAUACAUGCAAGUCGAGCGAGCGGCGGACGGGUGCGUAAUGUUUGGGAAACUGCCUGAUGGAGGGGGAUAACUACUGGAAACGGUAGCUAAUACCGCAUACCAUCAGCUGUGCCCAGAGGGGAUUAGCUAGUGGGUGGGGUAACGGCUCACCUAGGCGACGAUCCCUAGCUGGUCUGAGAGGAUGACCAGCAACACUGGAACUGAGACACGGUCCAGACUCCUACGGGAGGCAGCAGUGGGGAAUUUUGGACAAUGGGGGAAACCCUGAUCCAGCCAUCCCGCGUGUGCGAUGAAGGCCUUCGGGUUGUAAAGCACUUUUGGCAGGAAAGCGGUACCUACAGAAUAAGCACCGGCUAACUACGUGCCAGCAGCCGCGGUAAUUC